GACGAAGGACCCGAGCGUUAUCCGGAUUCAUUGGGUUUAAAGGGUGCGUAGGUGGGUCUGUAAGUCAGUGGUGAAAUCUUCGAGCUUAACUCGGAAACUGCCAUUGAUACUAUAGGUCUUGAAUCAUCUGGAGGUGAGCGGAAUAUGUCAUGUAGCGGUGAAAUGCUUAGAUAUGACAUAGAACACCGAUUGCGAAGGCAGCUCACUACGGAUGUAUUGACACUGAGGCACGAAAGCGUGGGGAUCAAACAGG
rnacentral:rRNA from 1 species